UGGAAACCAAAGAGGGAGACGAAACACAAAGACAUGACUAAGACAUGUGUAAACACAAACGACAAGACAGAGUCUCAUAGGAGACACAAAGAAAAAGGCACAAAAGGGAACCUAGCAGACAAGAAGCUAAACUGGGAGCACAAGAAAACUCAGAAGCAACUUGAAAGGUGUUAUGCAAAGAAAUCUAAAGAGUCUUCCGAUCUUCUCCUGCCUUGUCCUGUCUGCCAAAGCAGCUUUUCUCAAGGAUGUCAUAAGGUCUGCUUGCUCCCUGGUAUAACGAUG
ensembl:lncRNA